rnacentral:lncRNA from 1 species
AAAAAAAUAUCUUUAAAUACAGAAAAUACAGAUAAUAAUUGUUUGCAUGAAAUUGCUCCAAGGAUCCAGCAAAACUGAUCUUUCUUAAAGUAAGGAAAUCGAAGGAAAACGGGUAAUUUUAGCCAUAUCAUUUGAGAAAAAAAUCCACGGUCACAAUGUAUUUAAUGUUAACAAUUAUAGGUCAAAGUACAGCCUUCAAGACGGAGCUAGCCUUGGCUCACCCA